rnacentral:sRNA from 1 species
AAGAGGAUAUUAGUUUACGCUCUAAUCGUACUAUAUUCAUGGAUUAAGAAAACAUCUACAAUCUCCAACAUAUUUUAAACAGAGGACCAAUGCAGACAAGGAAACCUUCAAGGUCUCAAAAAAAAGUCAAGAAAAUUUGAAUUCGUGCCAACUAAUAAAACGGACAUACCUUUGAUUUUAGGUGUCCGACCAGGUCGCACUUAUUUGAGUGAUGGAUAUAGUUUGA